rnacentral:lncRNA from 1 species
AUUAUUAUAUUAUUAUCUCUCUGUUUUUUUCUCUCUUGAAAAUCCUAAUGUCACCAAGAAACCAAAAUUCAAGAUCAUCUAAUUCCUCAUCUCCAAAUUCUAGAGAAAGUAUUGUGAAAUUAAGGCGAGGAAACAAUAUUCAAAGAAGAAGAACAAAUAGAGCAUCUCUAAUCUCAUUCUUACUCUCAUAAACUAUAAUCACUCCCGUUGAUCGAAUCCCCCAAAUCUAGUUCACUACCGCCACGGAGGUUUAUAAUAUCAGUCAUCGAGCACCCUGAACGUCCAAACCCAAUUCCUCUUCGAUCCAUUCCCCAUAUUCCGAGAAACCCCAAGGGUCAAACCCAAUUCCUCUCCGAUCCAUUCCCAACGAACUGAUCAGAGCUCUCCGGUAAUGCUGUGAUAACAGUUAGAGCUUCGGUGGUUUAAUGAAGACCUUCACGACCCGAUCCGAAUCCGUGCUCGAAACUUACUGCCGUGUUCUGGAGGAAUUCCAGUUCGACUUACAGAAAUAAACUGAGCUGCCGGACGGUGAAAGAGCUCCCUACUUCGAUCAAAGUCGGCGCAUCGAUCGACGACUUAGGGAGUGAUAAAAUCAACAACCGAUAUCAUUUCAAUUUAUUGAACUCGCUGGAAGCUUUUCCUUUCAAUAGCUUAUCUGGGUUUAUUUUUUAGAUAUGCUUUUUAUUUUUAUUUUUUGUGUUAUUUAGUUGGACGACAAUUGCUCUUUGACAGAGAUGAAAUCGGAAGAAGAUGGUUUUAAAUUGUUAAGUUAUUUCAGAUCAAAUCGGGAGAUUUUUUAGAUCUGGUUUGGGAGAUUUAACUCUCUUCAUAUCUAAUGUUUUGGGAUUUAAAAAAUAACAAUAAUUGAUGUUUGAAGUGUUUUAAUAUUUAUUUCUUUUAUAUUUAAGCAUAG